ACGGGAGGCAGCAGUGGGGAAUAUUGCACAAUGGGGGAAACCCUGAUGCAGCGACGCCGCGUGAGUGAAGAAGUUAUUCGUAAUGUAAAGCUCUAUCAGCAGGGAAGAAAAUGACGGUACCUGACUAAGAAGCCCCGGCUAACUACGUGCCAGCAGCCGCGGUAAUACGUAGGGGGCAAGCGUUAUCCGGAUUUACUGGGUGUAAGGGGAGCGUAGACGGCAUGGCAAGUCUGAUGUGAAAACCCAGGGCUCAACCCUGGGACUGCAUUGGAAACUGUCAAGCUAGAGUGCAGGAGAGGUAAGUGGAAUUCCUAGUGUAGCGGUGAAAUGCGUAGAUAUUAGGAGGAACACCAGUGGCGAAGGCGGCUUACUGGACUGUAACUGACGUUGAGGCUCGAAAGCGUGGGGAGCAAACAGGAUUAGAUACCCUGGUA
rnacentral:rRNA from 1 species